CCCCUGGUACGUUAUCGUUAAUGUCGCGCCAGCCGCCGCCUGGUUAACCGUUACCGGAACGUUUAGCCGCUUACGGUUGAUUUCGCUUUUUCCGUAGAACUCAUCUUCAUGCCAGACGCCUGCCGGGAGUUGGACUGCGGCGAUAUCCGCUUUCGUCGGCGUGAUACUGAUUUUUUUACGGUAAAGGUAAUAACCCUCUUUUACCUGCCAGGAGAGGGUAAUAUCGUGUUGAUUUUGCUGAAAAUCAAAAACAAACGCCCGGUCGGCAGGGACGAACUGCGAGCGACCCGGCGCGUCGAAUAAUCCGGCGAAGGCGGAUGUGCUGCACAGCAGCAGGAUCAGCGUAAAGAUGCGUUGAGCCAUGAGAGGUAAUCAGUAUCUCCGUGAGUAACAGGUAAAACCAGAAGUUCAGGCGUUUGAUACGGGUGAUGAGACUUCAGGCAGUCGAUAAGCGCUUGCUGAUGUGAAA
rnacentral:misc_RNA from 1 species